rnacentral:lncRNA from 1 species
AUAUAGUUUCCAAUAGAUGCUAUUCUUAUGAAUGAUCAAUUAACUAAGCACAAAUAUAAUCAUUAAUUCAUGGAAUCAAUCCUCACCAGAUAAGGUGUUUCACUCAAUCACUCAAGUGUUUCAAGAGGUCCCUCCUUCUCUCUACUAUCUACAUGUCACAUAGAACAAAAUUACCCUUCAUCUACUACAAUCAACAUUCUCACACAUAAAUGUCAUCACAAGGACUUUUCAAGGCUUAUAUUGAGGUUAGGCUAAUAACAAAAAUUGGUUUUUCUAGAUCACAAAAUCCUUGAGUUAAGAGAGUUAUUCAAACAUUCAUAUUCAAGCACAAACUCUCUCUUUCACCAAUCUCACUCAUUCCCAACUUUCCCUUUUUCUUUUGCAUUGGGCUUUUCUUUUCAUGCUUAUCUUUUCUUUUCUAUCUUUUUCAUGCUUUUUCAUUCAACACAUUAGCCCAAUGCUUUUCUUUGCCUUUCAAUUCUCCCAACAACCCCAAACUUGAAGCUUUAUCAAUACCAUGCAAUUAUUCUCAACUCAACUCAAGGUAAAGAUUUUUCAAAAAGGUU